GACGAACGCUGGCGGCGUGCUUAACACAUGCAAGUCGAACGGAAAGGCCCUGCUUUUGUGGGGUGCUCGAGUGGCGAACGGGUGAGUAACACGUGAGUAACCUGCCCUUGACUUUGGGAUAACUUCAGGAAACUGGGGCUAAUACCGGAUAGGAGCUCCUGCUGCAUGGUGGGGGUUGGAAAGUUUCGGCGGUUGGGGAUGGACUCGCGGCUUAUCAGCUUGUUGGUGGGGUAGUGGCUUACCAAGGCUUUGACGGGUAGCCGGCCUGAGAGGGUGACCGGCCAAAUUGGGACUGAGAUACGGCCCAGACUCCUACGGGAGGCAGCAGGGGGGAAUAUUGCAAAAUGGGCGGAAGCCUGAUGCAGCAACGCCGCGUGCGGGAUGACGGCCUUCGGGUUGUAAACCGCUUUCGCCUGUGACGAAGCGUGAGUGACGGUAAUGGGUAAAGAAGCACCGGCUAACUACGUG
rnacentral:rRNA from 1 species